ACAUGCAGUCGAGCGAAUGGAUUAAGAGCUUGCUCUUAUGAAGUUAGCGGCGGACGGGUGAGUAACACGUGGGUAACCUGCCCAUAAGACUGGGAUAACUCCGGGAAACCGGGGCUAAUACCGGAUAACAUUUUGAACCGCAUGGUUCGAAAUUGAAAGGCGGCUUCGGCUGUCACUUAUGGAUGGACCCGCGUCGCAUUAGCUAGUUGGUGAGGUAACGGCUCACCAAGGCAACGAUGCGUAGCCGACCUGAGAGGGUGAUCGGCCACACUGGGACUGAGACACGGCCCAGACUCCUACGGGAGGCAGCAGUAGGGAAUCUUCCGCAAUGGACGAAAGUCUGACGGAGCAACGCCGCGUGAGUGAUGAAGGCUUUCGGGUCGUAAAACUCUGUUGUUAGGGAAGAACAAGUGCUAGUUGAAUAAGCUGGCACCUUGACGGUACCUAACCAGAAAGCCACGGCUAACUACGUGCCAGCAGCCGCGGUAAUACGUAGGUGGCAAGCGUUAUCCGGAAUUAUUGGGCGUAAAGCGCGCGCAGGUGGUUUCUUAAGUCUGAUGUGAAAGCCCACGGCUCAACCGUGGAGGGUCAUUGGAAACUGGGAGACUUGAGUGCAGAAGAGGAAAGUGGAAUUCCAUGUGUAGCGGUGAAAUGCGUAGAGAUAUGGAGGAACACCAGUGGCGAAGGCGACUUUCUGGUCUGUAACUGACACUGAGGCGCGAAAACGUGGGGAGCAAACAGGAUUACAUACCCUGGUAGUCCGCUCCCUAAACGAUGAGUGCUAACGGUGAGAGAGUUUCCGCCAUCUAGAGCUGAGGGGGGGGGG
rnacentral:rRNA from 1 species